rnacentral:rRNA from 1 species
CCUACGGGCGGCAGCAGUGAGGAAUAUUGGUCAAUGGGCGGGAGCCUGAACCAGCCAAGUCGCGUGAGGGACGACGGUCCUAUGGAUUGUAAACCUCUUUUGUCGGGGAACAAAGGCGCCCACGGGUGGGCGGAUGAGUGUACCCGAAGAAAAAGCAUCGGCUAACUCCGUGCCAGCAGCCGCGGUAAUACGGAGGAUGCGAGCGUUAUCCGGAUUUAUUGGGUUUAACGGGUGCGUAGGCUGUGAGGUAAGUCAGCGGUGAAAUGCCCCCGCUCAACGGGGUGAAGUGCCAUUGAUACUGCCUUGCUGGAAUGCGGAUGCCGUGGGAGGAAUGUGUGGUGUAGCGGUGAAAUGCAUAGAUAUCACACAGAACACCGAUUGCGAAGGCAUCUCACGAAUCCGCGAUUGACGCUGAUGCACGAAAGCGUGGGUAUCAAACAGGAUUAGAUACCCGGGUAGUC